UAAUGAAAUUUAUAAAAUGAUAAAAUAAUCAUUUAACUCUGAAAUUUCUUAUGAAGUAAGGGGUCAUCCAUAAUUUUCAACAUUUUCAGAAGAGUACAAAACAUACUCUUUUCUGUGACCCCUUCCUCCCCCGAAAGAAUACAUAAUAAAAUGUAAAUAAAAUGUUAAUUUGUGUCAUUUUGAGAUCAAAAUUUUAUGUUUUUCAUAAAAGAGUACUUAUGCUUACACACAACUCCCAUACAGCUGUUUGUUGUAUUUGUAUACUGUACAUGUAAUAAUUUACAUUUGUAGGUUCAACGUAGCAAGGAUACUCCAACAAUACCCUCAACUAUUGGAGAAGAGAAAAAAUACAAUCCAUUCAUGCGAGUAGGAGUUAAGUCUGUGCAAGAACAUGUUGGUCAGUCAGAUGGAAUUGCUACUAUGGGAGCACUAAGAACAGAAAAGGAUGGUUUCAAACCCAAAUCGGCAAUAUAGACAAGCGUACAUUUAUAUCAAUCAUGAAAAUAAUAACAAUAUUAGUAAUGUAUCAUAAUGAGUAACUAAUAAAGUUUUAAAUUAAGUGUAGAUAAGGUGGAUUAAAUUUUGGUUCAUAUUAAGCAAGUGACAAAAAUAUCAAGAAAGUGAAUCCUAGACAUGGGCGUGAUGGUAUAUUUCCAUUCUAUUCUAGGAUCUGGGCCCAAUUGUCCAAACCAGUUGGGCCUGAUUGUGACUGUUUAUCACUCAAUUUACAAAGACGAUUGAGCCCAAAAAGAUGAUCAAACUUUUUACUUACUUCAGCCAUAUCACUGACUUUUGCAACACCCUCUUUUUUCCUGAUUGGUUGCCAAAUUUGUAUUUUUGGAACCCUCUAUCUAUAGCCCAGACCAGUCCUGUUUGUGGCGUGGCCUACCUACAUAGAGGCCUAGGCUAUGCUACCUUGGCUAAGUAAAGAUAGCAUGCUAUGCUCAAUGAUUAACAGUUCUAGUGGAGAAAGAAAUACACAAGCUUAUUUUUUUGUUGGGGGGGGGGGGGUAGCAUAUUAAAAAAUGUUAACAUUUUAUGCCAGAGAAAAAUUGCACCCCAGGGAGGCUAUGCCUUUGCUGCGUAGGGUAAAAAAAGAAUGUAUUGUACUCGUUGAUGACGUCGCAAAUUGCGAAAUAACAACAAACAACAACCUUUCUGGUUUGAGCCUAGGCCGUCAUGGAAACUCACUGGUUCCUGUGUAAUUCAUGUUGUGCCAACUGCAGACGAAAAGGUUACAAUCUUUUCAGAGAUAACCUGGAAGAAAGUUCUAGAGAGCCCAACAAUGGAAGGAUUUUAAUACUGAAGAAUGGAAGUUAGCGAUGUCCUCGGCUUACACAAAAUACUUCAAUAACCAUGAUACAGUUAAGUUGUAUAUUAUAUGGCCUUAACAGUGAAGAGGUAGAUGCAAGCAACAGAUGCAACAUAUUAAAUCGAUUAUUAUUAUUUUUAUUAAUUAUAUAUAAACUCAUUAUUAUUACUUUUUAUUGUUAAAUUAUUGUUAUUAAAAUAUUAUUAUUGCUAUUAUUAUUGUGCAUGUUGUUAGGUAUAGGCUGACGUUACUACAAUAACUCAUUUUACUAGAACAAUUAUUAUACAGUAUUUGUUUAUUUACAUUUUUGUAAUCUUUGAAUGAUACAGACAGAUAAUUAUUAAAUAAAAAGUUAAUUGACACAUUUGAA